rnacentral:rRNA from 1 species
GACGAACGCUGGCGGCGUGCUUAACACAUGCAAGUCGAACGGUGAAGGGACCGGUUUUUGCUGGUUCUGGAUGAGUGGCGAACGGGUGAGUAACACGUGAGUAACCUGCCCCCUUCUUCUGGAUAACCGCAUGAAAGUGUGGCUAAUACGGGAUAUUCUGCGCCUGCUGCAUGGUGGGUGUGGGAAAGAUAUUGUUUCGGUGGGGGAUGGGCUCGCGGCCUAUCAGCUUGUUGGUGGGGUGAUGGCCCACCAAGGCGGUGACGGGUAGCCGGCCUGAGAGGGUGGACGGUCACACUGGGACUGAGACACGGCCCAGACUCCUACGGGAGGCAGCAGUGGGGAAUAUUGCACAAUGGGCGCAAGCCUGAUGCAGCGACGCCGCGUGAGGGAUGGAGGCCUUCGGGUUGUAAACCUCUUUCGCCAGUGAAGCAGGCCUGUCCCUUUUGUGGGUGGGUUGACGGUAGCUGGAGAAGAAGCGCCGGCUAACUACGUG